AGCAGCCGCGGUAAUUCCAGCUCCAAUAGCGUAUAUUAAAGUUGUUGCAGUUAAAAAGCUCGUAGUUGAAUUUCGGGAUUGGCGCAUCGGUCGUGCCUCACGGGGUAUGAACUGGUGCAGUCAAUUUCUCACCUUCUGGAGAACCGCGAUGUCCUUAAUUGGAUGCCGCGGGGAACCAGGACCUUUACUUUGAAAAAAUUAGAGUGUUUAAAGCAGGCAUUUUUGCUUGAAUACAUUAGCAUGGAAUAAUAAAAUAGGACGGCAUGGUUCUAUUUUGUUGGUUUCUAGGACCACCGUAAUGAUUAAUAGGGAUAGUUGGGGGCAUUAGUAUUCAAUUGUCAGAGGUGAAAUUCUUGGAUUUAUUGAAGACUAACUACUGCGAAAGCAUUUGCCAAGGAUGUUUUCAUUAAUCAAGAACGAAAGUUAGGGGAUCGAAGACGAUCAGAUACCGUCGUAGCCUUAACCAUAAACUAUGCCGACUAGGAAUCAGACGAUGUUAAUUUUUAAUGACUCGUUUGGC
rnacentral:rRNA from 1 species